rnacentral:tRNA from 1 species
GGGGGAAUAGCUCAGUGGCAGAGUGCGUGCUUAGCAUGCAUGGGGUCCUGGGUUCAAUCCCCGGUAACUCCA